ensembl:lncRNA
AAAUAACAAGGCCUGUCUUAGAAGGUGGCUCAAGGCCCUCCAGCCUUUCUCCGGCUUGGCCAUCAGGGCAUGUGGAACAGAGAGGGGACUGAAGCUGGUGGUUGCUCCUGUUAGAAUCUCAGAACCAGCUCCCCGGGAGCAUCACCACGUCUGGAGGUCCACCUGCUCCUCUGAAGUGUUGGGAGGAUUCCCGGAGGCCAUUCUGAGAUGCACAAGGGGGGAAGGGAAGCGCGUGUGGGUCCUGACAGUGCUCAGGGUUGUUCUCAGCCCUUGGAACAUCGCUGACAUUUAAUGGAGAACGCUGCUGCCAGCCUUGCUAGUUUUGCCCUCUUGGAUCACACAGAGUUCAUUUUCUCAACGGUAAAGAAUGCACCUGCCAGUGCAGAAACUGUAAGAGAUGUGGUUUGGAUUCCCAGGGGAUCUUCAAACCCAGGGAUCGAACCAGAUCUCCCAUAUUGCAGGUGGAUUCUUUGCCAUCUGAGCCACCAGGAAAGCCCAAGAAUACUGAAAUGGGUAGCCUAUCCCUUCUCCAGGGGAUCUCCUGACCCAGGAAUUGAACUGGGGUCUCCUGCAUUGCAGGCAGAUUCUUUACAAGCUGAGCUGACAGAGAAUCCAGAAUGUUAUUUAGCCUGAGUCCACACAUUCAAAUGUCUAUGCAGCCCUGUUGGAUGGAGGUUUCUGUGAUGAUGGAAAUGUCCUUUAACUUCAAUGCCAAUUCAAUGACCGCCAGCCACACGUAGCUUUUGAACACUCAGAAUUGGCUAGAAAGCGAACUUUAAAGCUUAUUUAAUUUUAGUUAGUUUAAACUUAAAUUGAAGUAGCCCAUAUGACCAGAGGCCAUUGGAUCAGACAGCUCAGGUAUACAGAGUCAGGCAAGAGGGAGAGACCUGGGUUCAGAUAAGACCCCAGGACGUGGGGUGAACUUGUGCCUUGAGUAAAGAAGGCUCACUCAACUCCAAGAAACAGUUGCCUUGUGGCAAUGUUACAGGCUCCAUGGUGAGAUGUUCUAUUUUUUUCAAGAGGAAUCAACAAUUCAAGUUUUCAUUUGAAAUCACCUAAGUUUUAAAUGUUGGAAACCAGUCCA